AAAAUACACAGAUUUAUUCAGAAUGUUAUACCGAUGAAGAUCACAUAAAAAUAUUUGGAAAAAUCAGAAGUAUGGAUUUCAAUAUGGGACAAGAUCCCUAAUGCGCCUUGAAAUGAGGAACUCAAAAGUACGUGUAAACAAAAAAUUCUCUGUGUAGUGAUAUUUGACACUUUUCUAUGAUAAACAAGUGACUGAGCUUAACCAUUUGAGUUAAUUUAGAAAGUAGGGGAACACAGAAUAAAUGUGUAAAAUCUAUGGAGCUAUUAAAUGUGUUCAAAGUAUUAAAUUUUCAAAGAACUUUUUGUGUUAAAAAUGGGAUUAUUUACCAUGAGGAGCCGCAUCACAAAAGGAUACUCGGGGUUUGCUAAUUUACGGAAAAAGUAAUCUCACUUCGUACCCCGAAAAUUUAACCACAUAUGUCAAAAUGUCUCAGCUUCGAAACGAGCCAUCACACAUAUCCAAGUUAACGAUAUGGACUGAGCAACAGAAGAAAACGUUACCAUUACGGCCUAUGGAAAAACUAAUGCGCAUCUGUACCCAGAUAGAUCUUGACCUGAUGAACAAUUUUACCCCUGUUAGAUUUGCUCUAAAUGCUUUUGUUUUGAGUUAUAAGCCAAAAACUGCAUUUUACCCCUAUGUUCUAUUUUUAGCCAUGGCGGCCAUCUUGGUUGGUUGGCCGGGUCACCCGACACAUUUUUCAAACUAGAUACCCCAAUGAUGGUUAUGGCUAAGUUUGGUUAAAUUUGGCCAAGUAGUUUCAGAAGAGAAGAUUUUUCUAAAAGAUUACUAAGAUUUACGAAAAAUGGUUAAAAAUUGACUAUAAAGGGCAAUAACUCCUAAAGUGGUCAACUGACCAUUUUGGUCAUGUUGACUUAUUUGUAGAUCUUACUUUGCUGAACAUUAUUGCUGUUUACAGUUUAUCUCUAUCUAUAAUAAUAUUCAAGAUAAU
rnacentral:lncRNA from 1 species